AUUGAACGCUGGCGGCAUGCCUUACACAUGCGAGUCGAACGGCCGCACGGGUGCUUGCCUCUGGUGGCGAGUGGCGAACGGGUGAGUAAUACAUCGGAACAUGUCCUGUAGUGGGGGAUAGCACGGCGAAAGCCGGAUUAAUACCGCAUACGAUCUACGGAUGAAAGCGGGGGCACUACGGGCAUCGCGCUAUGGGGUCGGCCGAUGGCUGAUUAGCUAGUUGGUGGGGUAAAGGCCUACCAAGGCGACGAUCAGUAGCCGGUCUGAGAGGGCGACCAGCCACACUGGAACUGAGACACGGCCCAGACUCCUACGGGAGGCAGCAGUGGGGAAUUUUGGACAAUGGGCGAAAGCCUGAUCCAGCAAUGCCGCGUGUGUGAAGAAGGCCUUCGGGUUGUAAAGCACUUUUGUCCGGAAAGAAAACCUUGGCCCUAAUCCGGUCGGGUGAUGACGGUACCGGAAGAAUAAGCACCGGCUAACUACGUG
rnacentral:rRNA from 1 species